rnacentral:rRNA from 1 species
UAACGCGAAGAACCUUACCUACUCUUGACAUCCAGAGAAUUCGCUAGAGAUAGCUUAGUGCCUUCGGGAACUCUGAGACAGGUGCUGCAUGGCUGUCGUCAGCUCGUGUUGUGAAAUGUUGGGUUAAGUCCCGCAACGAGCGCAACCCUUAUCCUUUGUUGCCAGCACGUAAUGGUGGGAACUCAAAGGAGACUGCCGGUGAUAAACCGGAGGAAGGUGGGGAUGACGUCAAGUCAUCAUGGCCCUUACGAGUAGGGCUACACACGUGCUACAAUGGCAUAUACAAAGAGAAGCGAACUCGCGAGAGCAAGCGGACCUCAUAAAGUAUGUCGUAGUCCGGAUUGGAGUCUGCAACUCGACUCCAUGAAGUCGGAAUCGCUAGUAAUCGUAGAUCAGAAUGCUACGGUGAAUA